AGAACUAAGGAAUCUGAGGCGACAGGCUUGAGGAUUGCAGCUAUGGUUACGUACCGAGACUCCAAGACUCUGUCUACACACACAGAACUCUUUUCCUCCUCUGAACUAGAAUACAUAAGGAACAUGAGCAGAGCUGAUAGUGUGCUAGCUACAAUGAUUCUACCAGAAAUCUUCUUUAUAAAAGGUGAGGCACAGAGCAUCUGAAGUCAUGACAAGUUGCCAUAGAUGAUAUCUCACACUAAACUAACCAGGCCAAG